rnacentral:rRNA from 1 species
UACGAGGGGGGCAAACGUUGUUCGGAAUCACUGGGCUUAAAGGGCGCGUAGGCGGGUCACAAAGUCCGGGGUGAAAGCCCCCAGCUUAACUGGGGAAGUGCCUUGGAUACUGGUGACCUCGAGGGAAGUAGGGGCCUGCGGAACUUCCGGUGGAGCGGUGAAAUGCGUAGAUAUCGGAAGGAACGCCGGUGGCGAAAGCGGCGGGCUGGACCUCUUCUGACGCUGAGGCGCGAAAGCCAGGGGAGCGAACGGG